CCCGUUAAUGGGUGAUAGCGUGCCUUUUGUAGAAUGAACCGGCGAGUUACGAUUUGUUGCAAGGUUAAGCGGAAAAAGCGGAGCCGUAGCGAAAGCGAGUCUGAAUAGGGCGCAUAAGUAACAGGUCGUAGACCCGAAACCAGGUGAUCUACCCAUGUCCAGGAUGAAGGUAAGGUAAUACUUACUGGAGGUCCGAACCCACGCACGUUGAAAAGUGCGGGGAUGAGGUGUGGGUAGCGGAGAAAUUCCAAUCGAACUUGGAGAUAGCUGGUUCUCUCCGAAAUAGCUUUAGGGCUAGCCUCGAGGUAAAGAGUCAUGGAGGUAGAGCACUGUUUGGACUAGGGGCCCUUCUCGGGUUACCGAAUUCAGAUAAACUCCGAAUGCCAUGUACUUAUACUCGGGAGUCAGACUGCGAGUGAUAAGAUCCGUAGUCGAAAGGGAAACAGCCCAGACCACCAGUUAAGGUCCCCAAAUAUAUGUUAAGUGGAAAAGGAUGUGGGGUUGCUUAGACAACCAGGAUGUUGGCUUAGAAGCAGCCACCAUUGAAAGAGUGCGUAAUAGCUCACUGGUCGAGUGACCCCGCGCCGAAAAUGUACCGGGGCUAAACAUAUUACCGAAACUGUGGAUGAACCUCUUUAGAGGUUCGUGGUAGGAGAGCGUUCUAAGGGCGGUGAAGUCAGACCGGAAGGACUGGUGGAGCGCUUAGAAGUGAGAAUGCCGGUAUGAGUAGCGAAAGAAGGGUGAGAAUCCCUUCCACCGAAUAUCUAAGGUUUCCUGAGGAAGGCUCGUCCGCUCAGGGUUAGUCGGGACCUAAGCCGAGGCCGAUAGGCGUAGGCGAUGGACAACAGGUAGAGAUUCCUGUACCAGUGCUAAUUGUUUAACCGAUGGGGUGACACAGAAGGAUAGGGAAUCGCACGAAUGGAAAUGUGCGUCCAAGCAGUGAGUGUGAGAAGUAGGCAAAUCCGCUUCUCGCGAAGCAUGAGCUGUGAUGGGGAAGGAAAUUAAGUACGGAAGUUCCUGAUUUCACGCUGUCAAGAAAAGCCUCUAGGAAGAGUAGUACUGCCCGUACCGCAAACCGACACAGGUAGAUGAGGAGAGAAUCCUAAGGUGAGCGAGAGAACUCUCGUUAAGGAACUCGGCAAAAUGACCCCGUAACUUCGGGAGAAGGGGUGCUCUAUUAGGGUGCAAGCCCGAGAGAGCCGCAGUGAAUAGGCCCAGGCGACUGUUUAGCAAAAACACAGGUCUCUGCAAAACCGUAAGGUGACGUAUAGGGGCUGACGCCUGCCCGGUGCUGGAAGGUUAAGAGGAGUGCUUAGCUUCGGCGAAGGUACGAAUUGAAGCCCCAGUAAACGGCGGCCGUAACUAUAACGGUCCUAAGGUAGCGAAAUUCCUUGUCGGGUAAGUUCCGACCCGCACGAAAGGCGCAACGAUCUGGGCACUGUCUCAACGAGAGACUCGGUGAAAUUAUAGUACCUGUGAAGAUGCAGGUUACCCGCGACAGGACGGAAAGACCCCGUGGAGCUUUACUGCAACCUGAUAUGGAAUGUUUGUACCGCUUGUACAGGAUAGGUAGGAGCCGAAGAGACGUGUGCGCUAGCAUACGAGGAGGCAAUGGUGGGAUACUACCCUGGCUGUAUGACCAUUCUAACCCGCCACGCUUAGCGCGUGGGGAGACAGUGUCAGGUGGGCAGUUUGACUGGGGCGGUCGCCUCCUAAAGAGUAACGGAGGCGCCCAAAGGUUCCCUCAGAAUGGAUGGAAAUCAUUCGCAGAGUGUAAAGGCACAAGGGAGCUUGACUGCGAGACUGACAAGUCGAGCAGGGACGAAAGUCGGGCUUAGUGAUCCGGUGGUUCCGCAUGGAAGGGCCAUCGCUCAACGGAUAAAAGCUACCCCGGGGAUAACAGGCUUAUCUCCCCCAAGAGUCCACAUCGACGGGGAGGUUUGGCACCUCGAUGUCGGCUCGUCGCAUCCUGGGGCUGUAGUCGGUCCCAAGGGUUGGGCUGUUCGCCCAUUAAAGCGGCACGCGAGCUGGGUUCAGAACGUCGUGAGACAGUUCGGUCCCUAUCCGUCGCGGGCGCAGGAAAUUUGAGAGGAGCUGUCCUUAGUACGAGAGGACCGGGAUGGACACACCGCUGGUGUACCAGUUGUUCCGCCAGGAGCAUCGCUGGGUAGCUAUGUGUGGCAGGGAUAAACGCUGAAAGCAUCUAAGCGUGAAGCCCCCCUCAAGAUGAGAUUUCCCAUUUCUUCGGAAAGUAAGAUCCCUGAAAGAUGAUCAGGUAGAUAGGUUUGGAGUGGAAGUGUAGCGAUACAUGGAGCGGACAAAUACUAAUCGAUCGAGGACUUAACCAAAA
rnacentral:rRNA from 1 species